UACAGAGGGGGCAAGCGUUGUUCGGAAUUACUGGGCGUAAAGGGCGCGUAGGCGGCCUGCUAAGUCGAACGUGAAAUCCCCGAGCUCAACUCGGGAACUGCGUCCGAUACUGGCAGGCUUGAAUCCGGGAGAGGGAUGCGGAAUUCCAGGUGUAGCGGUGAAAUGCGUAGAUAUCUGGAGGAACACCGGUGGCGAAGGCGGCAUCCUGGACCGGCAUUGACGCUGAGGAGCGAAAGCCAGGGGAGCAAACGGG
rnacentral:rRNA from 1 species